UGUGUAGGGGAUUCCGCUCCCCUCCAAGUAAACAAACCGAACUUAGACGUGAAGGUGAACUUGACCAUCCUAGCUCACUCCGGGCUUUGCUUACUACCAUGGUACUUGUGAAACUCUUAGAUCAUGAAUUCGUGGUCAUGGAAAGACACCAAGUUGAGUCGUAAUGUGUGUUAAGAAAUUGUUUUUUGUACUGCAUUGGAGCGACAUUAGUUGUAGCCAAGGCGACGGAGUGACCACAGUGAGGACAACAGGCUAGCAUGGCGGGUCAUGACACACCUAGUCCCACACACCACUCAUAAAGAUGUGAGAAACAAACUUACUUAGUGAGGCCCAACUCAGUGAGGUGGUGCUCAGUGGGUCUUUGGCCUCGGAAGCCUUAAUCAACGAAGAAGUAUUCAAGGCUACCCUAAUCAACGAGGUCAUACACCAAGGCUCUCUUCAUCGACUAACUUCUCAACAGUCUUUUUCUACUCGUUCAGGAGUAACUUAGCAAUGCUCUAUUCAGCUCGUCCUGCUAGUAUCAAUCAAGUUUAAUUGUGGUUAAGCCUCAUUGAGAGAGGUGUUGCCUCAAAACUUAUGUACUCUGCCAUUCAUUGAGUAUUAAUACGCUAUUUUCUCGUUAGCUCCGGUGACGAGACUUUCAUGCAGAACCUUGUGACUCCCGCCUGGCUUCUCAGUAAGAUAGUCAUGGCUGGCGGGUACACCGUAGGGGAGUUUUUCUCAGUGACAGUGCAGCCAGGUACCAGUGACGCUCCCAAUGGUUCGUGGUUAAAGAAAAAUGUGACUGGAAAGUCCUGGAACAACGAGGCAGCCGGUGGGUCACGUCUGAGCGAGUAUCAGUACGUCAUUGGUCUAACUUUACUUCUGAUGAUGAUCCUCCUGGGUGUGGUGGUGUCGGUGCUCAUGUGCCUCACCAUUCGCCGGAACCCUAUGCUGUGGUCUGGCGUGUUCGGGGGACUUAUGCUCAAGACCAACAUCAACGGUAAUAACGGAGCCAAGUUCCCCAGGAGGGUGCGGUUUAACGUCCCUGACAACCAUGACGUGGAAUCCACUGGUUCUGCCAUGACGGUCAUGAUUUCUGUUGCCGGAGAAAGUGAGGAUGCCAUUGACCAGACCACUUAAGCUUACUAGUGUUACCUCUGACUGCUACAACAACGUUAUCCUGUGUUAGGUUGACUAAGAACACCGCGAGUGUUUAACUGAAGCAUCGACUGGUGUAGACAAGACAGUGAUAUAAGAGGAAUGUGAAACAUAAUUUUAUCUCAUCAAUAAUGUAAUUCAGGAGCGCAUUGUAACAAAAACUUUUAUCAUUAAUACGUAAAAUAAAUGAUGAUAACAGUACAAAUAAUUACCUCAGGAUAGUCGGAAGUCUUUAUAGGGAUAUAAUCCUGUGACCGUACACAGUUACCGGUAGUACAUGUAAGAUUAAAGUAAUGAAACGUCCGACGAGUUACAGAAUGACAUGACAAGUAAACUGUUCCGUUGUGUGUCCGUGAAGGUGUUGAGCUGAUCAACUCCAGGGUACAGAUUCUGUAAGAAAAUACGUCGGUCGUAAUAUUUUUUCUAUGCUUAAAUGAAGAGAAAGAGCACACUUAGUAACAAUUCUAUCUUAGUCAAUGUUUCCUCGACAUUGCUCUGGCCACCAUAUUGUGUAGCAGCCCAGCUGAGCAGAUUAGAGGUGUUCAUAAAUCCUUCAUUACGGGAAAAAUUAAUUGAAAGUUUUGUAAAUCAGAGUGUGUGGUACUGUCUCUCAGCAACCUGAACCAAGUCAAAUAGUGGGUAAAAUAUAUAUUUCUGUCUAUAAAAGAAAAGUAAACUAUUAAUUUGUGUAGAGUUGCCUCAAAGAAUUCCUUUACCCCUGUGGUGCCGUUUGCGUACAUGUGACACCGUCGCAAUACUGGAGUAAACGAGGAUUUCUCGAAGUUAAAGGAGGAAUGGAAAGUCUAAAAUAAAAAUGGAAAAUGAGAUGCAAAAACAACGCAUGAAUCAACCUCCACAGUUUAUGAUUACAAAAGGUUACAAUACUUUGAACCAUUGUGUGAUUUAUACUAAGGGCAUGUGUAGCGCCACCAGUGUCCAUGUGUGAAGAAGCGUCCUGGUGUAUGAUAAUUAUCAUUAAUAACACAAAUUUCCUCAUGUAGCUUUUAUUUGUAAAUCUUUAUCACUUAUACUGGUACUCUUCCUUGUAAGAAACAUCUAUGUGUAUAUUAUUAUAUCGAGUUUAUAUUGCAUUUAUAUAUCUAUUUAUUAUUAUUGCCAAGCGAAAUUACGUCAAGGUAUCUUUUCCACCAUUCAUUUCCAUUGUUAGAAGGCGACGACUACGGAUUAUCUCAUACGUUCACUCUACAGUAGUAUUGCGAUGGUGCCACAUUUACGAAAACGUCACCACAAGGGGUAAAGGAACUCUUUGAGGCAACUGUACAUACAUUCAAUAUAUAACAUUACAUUAUGUGCAAAUAGUGGUGCUUUAUAUCCUCUUGUACAGUGGUGCUUUACAUCCACCUCUUCUAUCACGUGUUCAAAGUCUUUAGGAGAAAAGUAUUGACUAACUCCGAGUAUUAGUUUGGGAUUACUAGGAGAUAAUCAUUAGACAAUAAGAAAUUUGGCAUUCAGCUUCAGGUAUGUGUGUGUGUACGGGUGGUGGUGAGGGAGGUACUGUCCCCAGACGCGUAUUUAACACUGCUAGGUGUAAUUUUCUUAAGGGUCCCCUCUGUACAGUAGGCUAGUUGAUGCUCUAAUUCUGUGCAUAAUUAAUAAAUGUUUCAGUCUGUAUACAACAGCUUCAGUUUUCCUUGUACUAAACAUAAGGUAAAAGUACAACACAGAUCCUCACAUCUCAGGAUUUUUUGCACUACUCUGAGGCCCACAAUUGUACCUACCUUAAACUCGCUUCUGGUUCUAUGUGUUCUUCAUACUGAAACAUUUGAUGUUUUAGCAGUUUCUGUUUUACUUAUUUUUACCUACUUACCUUUUUAAAUUAAUUAGUAGGAAGUUUCAUUAUGUUAUGGUAAUAAACAUUUUAAAUGAAACAGGAAUUUCUUGUAACAUAUUUGAGCUAAUUUCUAUUAUA